rnacentral:rRNA from 1 species
AUUGAACGCUGGCGGCAGGCCUAACACAUGCAAGUCGAGCGGAUGAGUGGGGCUUGCUCCAUGAUUCAGCGGCGGACGGGUGAGUAAUGCCUAGGAAUCUGCCUGGUAGUGGGUGAUAACGUUUCGAAAGGAAGGCUAAUACCGCAUACGUGCUACGGGUGAAAGUGGGGGAUCUGAGCACUUUACGCUGUCAGAUCAGCCUGGGUCGGAUUAGCUAGUUGGUGAGGUAAAGGCUCACCAAGGCGACGAUCCGUAACUGGUCUGAGAGGAUGAUCAGUCACACUGGAACUGAGACACGGUCCAGACUCCUACGGGAGGCAGCAGUGGGGAAUAUUGGACAAUGGGCGAAAGCCUGAUCCAGCCAUGCCGCGUGUGUGAAGAAGGUCUUCGGAUUGUAAAGCACUUUAAGUUGGGAGGAAGGGCAGUAAGUUAAUACCUUGCUGUUUUGACGUUACCAACAGAAUAAGCACCGGCUAACUUCGUGCCAGCCGCCGCCGUAAAAC